rnacentral:rRNA from 1 species
CUGGUUGAUCCUGCCAGUAGUCAUAUGCUUGUCUUAAAGAUUAAGCCAUGCAAGUCUAAGUAUAAACCUUUAUACGGUGAAACUGCGAAUGGCUCAUUACAACAGUUACAAUUUACAUGAAACUGAAUUUCUACACGGAUAACCGUGGUAAUUCUGGAGCUAAUACGUGCCCCGCCCCCGCAAGGGGGAGCGCAUAUUAGGUUAAGAACACAGCUACCUCUGGUAGUUUUAUGUUGAUCCACAAUAUUGCCGUGAAUCGCAAGUUUUAAACUAGCGAUGGUUCAUCUAAGUUUCUGACCUAUCAGCUGUGGACGGUGGGGUAGUGGCCUACCGUGGCAAUGACGGGUAACGGGGAAUUAGGGUUUGAUUCCGGAGAGGGAGCCUGAGAAACGGCUACCACAUCUAAGGAAGGCAGCAGGCGCGUAAAUUACCCAAUCCUGACACAGGGAGGUAGUGACAAGAAAUAUCGGUGUAAGACAUCUGUUUUGCAAUUGGAAUGAGAACAAUUUAAAACCUUGAUUGAGUACCAAUUAGAGGGCAAGCCUGGUGCCAGCAGCCGCGGUAAUUCCAGCUCUAAUAGCGUAUAUUAAAGUUGUUGCAGUUGAAAAGCUCGUAGUUGAAUUUUUGUUAGGUCCUCGACAGGUCAUUUAUGGCAGUGUUGAGGUCCUUUCGUUCCUUCUUCUCUCGUUCUAUGAAUGAGUGGGAAGGAAAUGUUACUUUAAAUAAAUUAGAGUGCUUCAAGCAUGCGUUUUGUCUUGAAUAUUUCAUUCUGGAAUAACAACCAAAAAUGAGUUUGUGUUGGUUCUAAACAACUCAAUUAAUGAUUGAAAGAAGCAGUCGGGGGCAUUCGUAUUUGGUAGCUAGAGGUGAAAUUCUUAGAUUUACCAAAGACGAACCAUUGCGAAAGCAUUUGCCAAGGAUGUUUUCAUUAAUCAAGAACGAAAGUUAGGGGAUCGAAGACGAUCAGAUACCGUCGUAGUCUUAACUGUAAACUAUGCCGACUUGAGAUUGGAUGAUGCCAAAAUAAGCUCCUCCAGCACCAGAAGAGAAAUCGAAGUUUUUGGGUUCUGGGGGGAGUAUGGUCGCAAGGCUGAAACUUAAAGGAAUUGACGGAAGGGCACCACCAGGAGUGGAGCCUGCGGCUUAAUUUGACUCAACACGGGGAACCUCACCAGGUCCAGACAUAAGAAGGAUUGACAGAUUGAGAGCUUUUUCUUGAUUUUAUGGGUGGUGGUGCAUGGCCGUUCUUAGUUGGUGGAGUGAUUUGUCUGGUUAAUUCCGUUAACGAACGAGACUUUAACCUGCUAACUAGACAGCGGAAUAAAUAUUCCGACUGCGCUUCUUAGAGGGACUUUGCGUGUUUAACGCAAGGAGGUUUAAGGCAAUAACAGGUCUGUGAUGCCCUUAGAUGAUCUGGGCUGCACGCGCGCUACACUAAUAGGGGCAACAAGUUUUUCUGUCUUUAUCAAGAUAGGUAAACUUUUGAAUCCUUAUUGUGAUGGGAACAGAUGAUUGCAAUUAUUCAUCUUGAACGAGGAAUUCCUAGUAAGCGCAAUUUAAUAAAUUGCGCUGAUUACGUCCCUGCCCUUUGUACACACCGCCCGUCGCCUCAAUCGACUGGAUGAUCCGGUGAAUUGUUCUGAGCGGUGGCAAGUGGAAACACUAUGCUACUGCAAAGUCCUGUAAACCUAAUCAUCUGAAGAAUGAGAAAGUCGUAACACGGUAUCUGUAGGUGAACCUGCAGAAGGAUCA